UACAGAGGUCUCAAGCGUUGUUCGGAUUCAUUGGGCGUAAAGGGUGCGUAGGUAGCGCUGUAAGUCGGGUGUGAAAUUUCGGAGCUCAACUCCGAAACUGCAUUCGAUACUGCGGUGCUUGAAGACUGGAGAGGAGACUGGAAUUCAUGGUGUAGCAGUGAAAUGCGUAGAGAUCAUGAGGAAGACCAGUGGCGAAGGCGGGUCUCUGGACAGUUCCUGACACUGAGGCACGAAGGCCAGGGGAGCAAACGGG
rnacentral:rRNA from 1 species